CCGGAGAGGGAGCCUGAGAAACGGCUACCACAUCCAAGGAAGGCAGCAGGCGCGCAAAUUACCCAAUCCCGACACGGGGAGGUAGUGACAAUAAAUAACAAUACAGGGUUCUUUUGGAUCUUGUAAUUGGAAUGAGUACAAUUUAAAUCUCUUAACGAGGAACAAUUGGAGGGCAAGUCUGGUGCCAGCAGCCGCGGUAAUUCCAGCUCCAAUAGCGUAUAUUAAAGUUGUUGCAGUUAAAAAGCUCGUAGUUGAAUUUCGGGAUCAAUGUUUCGGUCAUGCCGUUGGUAUGUACUGAUAUUAUUGAUUUCUCACCUUCUAAAGAACCGUAAUGCCAUUAAUUUGGUGUCACGGGGAAUUAGGACUGUUACCUUGAAAAAAUUAGAGUGUUUAAAGCAGGCUCACGCUUGAAUACAUUAGCAUGGAAUAAUGAAAUAGGACAUCCGAUUCUAUUUUGUUGGUUUCUAGGAUCGAUGUAAUGAUUAAUAGGGAUAGUUGGGGGCAUUAGUAUUCAAUUGUCAGAGGUGAAAUUCUUGGAUUUAUUGAAGACUAACUACUGCGAAAGCAUUUGCCAAGGAUGUUUUCAUUAAUCAAGAACGAAAGUUAGGGGAUCGAAGACGAUCAGAUACCGUCGUAGUCUUAACCAUAAACUAUGCCGACUAGGGAUCGGAUGAUGUUAAUUUUUUAAUGACUCAUUCGGCGCCUUACGGGAAACA
rnacentral:rRNA from 1 species